AAUAUUGUACAAAGGGCGCACGCCUGCCCCAGCCAUGCUGCGUGCGUGAUGAAGGCCCUAGGGUUGUAAAGCUCUUUCACCGGUGACGAUAAUGACGCUAACCGGAGAAGAAGCGCCGGCUAACUUCGUCCCACUGCCCGCGGUAAUACGAAGGGGGCUAGCGUUGUUCGGAAUUACUGGGCGUAAAGCGCACGUAGGCGGACAUUUAAGUCAGGGGUGAAAUCCCAGGGCUCAACCCCGGAACUGCCUUUGAUACUGGAUGUCUGGAGUAUGGAAGAGGUGAGUGGAAUGCCGAGUGUAGAGGUGAAAUUCGUAGAUAUUCGGAGGAACACCAGUGGCGAAGGCGGCUCACUGGUCCAUUACUGACGCUGAGGUGCGAAAGCGUGGGGAGCAAACAGG
rnacentral:rRNA from 1 species